UACGUAGGGUGCAAGCGUUGUCCGGAAUUAUUGGGCGUAAAGAGCUCGUAGGCGGUGUGUCGCGUCGGCCGUGAAAACCUGCAGCUUAACUGUGGGCUUGCGGUCGAUACGGGCAUCACUGGAGUUCGGCAGGGGAGACUGGAAUUCCUGGUGUAGCGGUGAAAUGCGCAGAUAUCGGGAGGAACACCAGUAGCGAAGGCGGCACUCUGGGCCGUGACUGACGCUGAGGAGCGAAAGCGUGGGUAGCAAACAGG
rnacentral:rRNA from 1 species